rnacentral:tRNA from 1 species
UCCCGUGUGGCUCAGUUGGUAGAGCAUGGUGUUUGCAACGCCAGGGUUGUGGGUUUGAUUCUCACAGGGGAC